rnacentral:rRNA from 1 species
AGCGGACGCUGGCGGCAGGCUUAACACAUGCAAGUCGAGCGGGCACUUUCGGGUGUCAGCGGCGGACGGGUGAGUAACGCGUGGGAACGUGCCCUCUGGUUCGGAAUAACUCAGGGAAACUUGAGCUAAUACCGGAUACGCCCUUUUGGGGAAAGGCUUGCUGCCGGAGGAUCGGCCCGCGUCUGAUUAGCUAGUUGGUGAGGUAACGGCUCACCAAGGCGACGAUCAGUAGCUGGUCUGAGAGGAUGAUCAGCCACACUGGGACUGAGACACGGCCCAGACUCCUACGGGAGGCAGCAGUGGGGAAUAUUGGACAAUGGGCGCAAGCCUGAUCCAGCCAUGCCGCGUGAGUGAUCAAGGCCUUAGGGUUGUAAAGCUCUUUUAUCCGGGACGAUAAUGACGGUACCGGAGGAAUAAGCCCCGGCUAACUUCGUG